GAGCGGUGCCGCCUGAAAGCAAGGGCUGCCCCGAGCUUCCCUUCGCCGGAACUUCCUCCUCCGGCCACCAAUCCGGGCAAGCUUGGUAUGGUUUUGUAGCCCUCCAACCCAGCAACCUUGCCCUAAAAGGACUCACUCCCUCUUGAGCUAGGUAAGGAGAAAUUUGAGGUGGAAGUUUUAUGGUGUUUUUGAUGUUUUUAGUCGAUUGCCCUAGUUAGGCUUAGAAUUGGUGUUUGUGCUAGUUAUGAAAGUUGUAGAGCUUGAUGAGAGGAAGAUGCUGUUAAAAUUUCAUAGGUUUUGGAGGUCGCCGGAAUUGACCUCCGGCCGCCGCUGUCGGCGGAGCCGCCGGCGGCACCGCCGCCGGUUAGGAGAUUUUUAUGGUUUUUGAUGUAGAAUAUUAAGGGGAUAUUAUUGAAGUGAAUUAUGGAAUUUUUGGAUGAGAUUUGGAUAGGUUUGUGAAUUUCCGAAGUUUGGUAUUUUUGGCGGUUAAUUAAUGUAGAAUCCGGCCGUAGGAUUUAAGUCGUAUUUUGGGGAGGUUGUAUUUACGACUGUUGAGUAUGAUAUUUAAGUUCGGAUUGUUCCGAUGUAAGAAUAUCGAAGUUAGGCAAUGAUGAGCGUAGUAAUGGCUCUCGGGUAAUUUUGCCUAUUUUGAUUAAAUAUUAGAUAUUGGUUGGGAAAUUAAUAUUAUAUUUGGAACAGGACGUGAAGAGGCUCGAGCAGACGAGACCCCAGAUUGACAUCAGGCUUAGGCCUAAUUCGUGAGUGGACGUUUAUUUUAAAUAAAUGCAUGCUAUAGUUCAUGGUUGAACAAUUAAUAUUGCGGAAUAUUUUAACGUCAUUUUAAUUUGACGAUUUUUAUUUUCUCUUGGAGAGCUACCGAAAAUGGGAUUUUCGGUGGAUAUAAAUAUGUAUUUAUGAGAGAGUAUGUAUAUAAAUGCUAGCUAGCCAUAUGUGUCUGUCCACCUUAAUGGCGUAGCAUAUAGCCGCAUUAUGGUGUGACGUGAGNNNN
rnacentral:lncRNA from 1 species